UGCCAGCAGCCGCGGUAACACGGGGGGCGCAAGCGUUAUUCGGAAUUAUUGGGCGUAAAGCGCGUGUAGGCGGUUCGUUAAGUCUGAUGUGAAAGACCGGGGCUCAACUCCGAGUUUGUAUACAAAACUGUUCAUCUAGAAUAGGGGAGAGGUAAGUGGAAUUCUGCGUGUAGGGGUGCAAUCCGUAGAUACGCAGAGGAACACCAAAAGCGAAGGCAACUUACUGGAACCUUAUUGACACUGAGGAACGAAAGCGUGGGGAGCGAAAAGGAUUAGAUA
rnacentral:rRNA from 1 species